AUGUAUGUAUAUGUUAAUAUUUUAUUGAAACCAUUGAUGUCCCUCUUUGCAGAACUCAAACUAACUGGAGUUAAGGACACAGAAGUCUGCUUGUGUGAGGAGGUGGUUUUCUCAGCUUCUUUGGAAGAGAGGGAAAGAUCGUUUAAGGUGUUAAAAGCAAGAGACAUGGGAGAGCAUCAUUCCUUUGAGAUUUUAUGUAAGUUAUUUUUAGAAAAUACAUUUUUCUGUUGUCUCCUGCCAGUUUACUUCACAUUUUGAUGCAACAACAGUGUGAUUACGUGCUCAUUUCAUUAAGACCAUUGAUGUCUGUGUUUUUUAUUGCAGAACUCAAACCAACUUUGGAGUUGUCUGAUUUGGAGAGUCAUUAUUCUUGGUCUUCGCUCUUAGAGGUAAAGUUCACACAAAAAAUCAUUUACUUGCCCUCAAGUCAUUCCAAACCUAUAAGACUUUUGUUUGUCUUUACAACAUAAAUUAAUAUAUUUUUAGUUUUCUCAUAAUAUUUGUUAAUCCAUUUAUAGUUUAGAUAAUCAGUAUUUUCAAGCUUCAUAAAUAUAGAGUUAUUGUAGAAGUAAAUUCUGAUAUUUAUAUAUGAAUACAUCUUAAAUUAUAUGAUAGCAAACAUGUAUGUUCAAAAUAAAAUACUGGUCUCCCAGACCAGCAAUGGAGGACACAAAAAGAGAAUAUUAAAUAUAUUCAUAUGUUUUCCAAAAAAUGAGCAGAUUUUGUAUGAGUCUGGAAAAACAUGAGGAGAGUAAAUUAUAAACAUUUUAAUUAUAUGGUGAACUAACGGUUUGAAGAGCAGCCCUCCAUGUACGUGAAUAUUGUGAGGUAUGUGAAUGUCAUGUCUGUUUUAAUGUUUCACUAAAGAAGCUUUCUGAAAGCAAUAUUUAUUCAAACAAUAUUGCAUGUCCUCACACUAGUGCUGCCAUUAUAGCCUCCUGGAGCGCUGUGGUGGACUGAGACAUUAAACAACCGCACAAAGUGUUGAAACUUUAAAACCGAUUAUUUACCUAUCCUUACGGAUGUGAAUACACCUCUACCUGAAAAUGGAUAGUUUAAUUAAAUGUUUAAUUUUUUCAAAUGUGUUUCUCUUAGGCCACUGAUGAAGAACAGGCGGUGACUGGAUGAAUCCUGGUCAGAGAGGAAAAUCUUCUUUCCCCUAAACAGCAGUGGUUUUAAAGGAGGACGCUGCCCUGGAUAAUAUAGAAGAUGUCACAUGCUGUGCUGAUGGGGUUUCUUCAUGAUUACAUCAGUUAUGCUAAAGAGAUCAUGAAAAUUGACUGUGAUGCAUGAUCUGUAUUCAUGGACUAUGAAACAAACUGUAAGUGUAUAAUUUGUUUAAAAAAAAAGUUAAAUGCUUUUUCUGUGUUGUUUAGUAGAAGAGUUUACACUCUGUCAUUCAUACACCUGCUCACAUUUUCACACACACACACACACACACACACAUGCGUCUGUUAAAUGUUAUAAUAUCAAAGUUAAUGUUGUGAUUUAUUUGUGUACUGUCAUGCCAGAAUAGUUGGAAAAAAACCUAACUAAUUGUAAAUUUAUUGUAUGUUGUUUUUGUAUAUUUUUAUACAAUAUAUACAAUUGAACAAAGUCCAAUUUGAUUUUAAGUUAUAUUCAUCAAAUGUUCAAUGCUUUGUUUAUGAACUCUGUAGCUGUUAAUGCCAUCCUUUUCUGCAUUUCUUCUAACAUGUUACUUUUUGACUUUUCUCUUGUUUUUAAUAAAUAUUUUCCUUUUGGUAAUUAUUAUUUGUGUGUAAAAGUGAUAUUUAAAAUGAACAACAUUUGUAGGUUUAAUGCCUAGCUCAAUUUGGGUUAAUUUUAACGUAGAAAUGCAUUGUUUCCCCACAUGGCUGCACUCUGUGAGUUUAUUUUCUGCCAGUAGGAGGCGCUAAGAGCGAGAGAGGUAGGUUUCUCCGGUAACGGCUGCAGAGCGGCGCUGAGCUCACUAACGCUGCCUUAUCAAGCACAUGCGAAAUGAUAUCGAACAUUUUCUAAAUACAGUAGUUUUCCUUCUGAAAUACACUGAUAAAAAAACACCUGCUCUGUUUUUUUAAACCCUGCAAUAUAGUCAUUUUAAACUAUAAAAAAGGCAACCCAGCAGGCUGGGUUAAAUAUGAUAACCCAACUGGUUGGGUUAAAACAACCCAGCGCUGGGUUCGUCCCUUUUUGACCCAGUGCUGGGUUGUCAAAAUAACCCAAAUUGGGUUGUUUUCAACCCAGCAGUUUUUAGAGUGCAGUGCUCAUGUAUACGCAUAGAGCAGCCUCACCUCGGCUAGACCUUCUGAUCUGUGCCGCUGGCUCUGAUGUGUCUUUAGUGGUUAAACAUAAAAUGUAAUUAGUCUUGGGUAAAUCUAACAGGUUACCUUUGGUCUGUAUUCAAUUUAUCUAUAUGUUAAAAUGAAAAUAAAAAUUGAAUUGAAUUGAAUGUGAAUUAGUUGUUUCUUCUGUUGAUUAGUUGAAUGUUAUAAUAAUGAUCAGAACAAUUAUUUUAACUACAGUCACUUUUUACUGGUUACCAGGUAAGUAUUUCUAGUGUAAUGCAAUCUAAGUUAUUUAAUAUACAUAUAUUGUUGUGCGCUCC
ensembl:lncRNA